rnacentral:rRNA from 1 species
UGGGGAAUAUUGGGCAAUGGGCGCAAGCCUGACCCAGCAACGCCGCGUGAAGGAAGAAGGCUUUCGGGUUGUAAACUUCUUUUCUGAGGGACGAAGCAAGUGACGGUACCUUAGGAAUAAGCCACGGCUAACUACGUGCCAGCAGCCGCGGUAAUACGUAGGUGGCAAGCGUUAUCCGGAUUUACUGGGUGUAAAGGGCGUGUAGGCGGGACUGCAAGUCAGAUGUGAAAACCACGGGCUCAACCUGUGGCCUGCAUUUGAAACUGUAGUUCUUGAGUACUGGAGAGGCAGACGGAAUUCCUAGUGUAGCGGUGAAAUGCGUAGAUAUUAGGAGGAACACCAGUGGCGAAGGCGGUCUGCUGGACAGCAACUGACGCUGAGGCGCGAAAGCGUGGGGAGCAAACAGGAUUAGAUACCC